AAACAGCUGGGACGACGUCAAACUUUUACCGUCACCUCGAAAGGAAGCAUAAAGACAGGUUCCUGGACUACAAGGCAGGACAACUUGCAGAUGCUACACAGCCAACUAUCCCAUCCUUUGCCCAGAAAGUGCAGCUCUACAGUCUACAUUCCCCACGGCAGCAAGCCAUCAGUGAGGCCAUUGUCAAAGAUUUGAUAAUCGGGUGUUGUCUGCCACUCUCCCUUGUGGAAAAUGAACAUUUUAAAGACUUUCUUGAGACUGUGGAUAACAAGUACACACCAAUCUCAAGAAGAACAAUUACUGAGAAAUACAUACCAGUUUUGGUAAAGCAAGUUAAGGAGACUGUUUUGGAGAAGCUGAAGAAAAAAUCAACAGUGUCCUUAACUACUGACAUCUGGUCUGAUCGCAGGCUUCGCUCCUUCCUUGGAGUAACAGCUCAUUUGUGCAACAAGUCAAAGGAUUGCUAUGCCCUUGAAUCGUACUUGCUGGACUGUAGACAUUUCCCAGGCAGACAUAGUGGAGAGCGAAUUUCCUCUGCCUUUGAGGAGAUCACAGAAGAAUAUAGUAUCCGUCAAAAGAUCAGUUAUAUUGUCACAGACAAUGCCGCUAAUAUGAAGUGUGCUUUUGCGCAUGCCACAACAGCAGUCAGAUGACACUGAGAGUGAGGAGGAAAACCUUGAUGAUAAGCACCUAUGGGAGGACAUGCAUCCUGUGGAAGACACAGAGCCACCCUGGUCAUCAGGUGAACGUAUUUCUUGUUUUGCUCACUCCCUGCAAUUAGUUGUGAAUGACGGCAUGAAGGAAGUUAGAGCCAUCUCUCGCGCCAUUGCCAAAACAUCACGCUUCUCAACUCUAUUGCACAGCAGCUCACAGUUCAGAGACAAGUUUGAGGCUGCAUUUGACUCUACUAAGACUAUUCCAGCUGCAAACAACACUCGCUGGAACAGCACUUUCAAACAAGUGCAGGCCCUCACAGCUCUGGACCAUAAAGUUCUGACUGAAAUGUGUUGCAAGGAUUAUGAGGAAGUGGUAUUCAGCACUCGUGAGUGGAACCAGCUUAAGGAAUUGACUUCAAUUCUCGCACCAUUCUCGGAGGCAACAGACCUGACAGAGGGAGAGAAAGCAGUUACCAAUAGCAUGGUGGUACCGACUGUUCUGGACUUGCAUACACAUCUUGUGAAGAUGGAGGAGACACGAAUACAGUGUCGGCCAAUAGUAAAGGCCCUUCGUCAGUCUCUGAUGAGAAGAUUCAGUGGAAUCUUUUCCAAAACAAACAUGACCAAAGACAGUGGGGAAGAGGAACCUUUCAGCCACAAUGUGUACUUUUUGGCCACAAUGCUUGACCCACAGUUUGGAUUAAACUGGGUGGAUCUGGAUGUUACAAAUGGGCAAAAUGCAACAUCACUCAAGAACUUCAGAGAAGAUCUGAAGAAAACACUGACAGACACUUUGAUCUCUGAGGUGGAGAACUUGAUGGACAGCGAAGGUGAAGAGUGCAGAGCCACAGAUGGAGAUCCAUCCAGUGAUUCACCUCCAGUCAAAUGCCCACGCCUUCUUACUCGCUACAAAGCUCACAAAAAGCGCAGCUCAGGCCAGGGUUCAAGCAUCAGAACACAGAUAAGCAAAUACUUCGAUGCCAUACAGGACACUGAUGCUGACAAUGCACUUGUCUUCUGGUACAAAAACCAAGACAGAUUCCCACAACUCCACAACUUGGCACUGAAGGUGCUGUCAGUUCCCGCAUCCUCUGCACCAGUUGAGAGGGUUUUUAGUAGAGGAGGCAUCAUAAUGAGACCCCAUCGUGCACGUUUAGGUCACAGAAUGCUGCAGUCUCUCAUGUUCCUGAAAUGCAACAAAGCUCUUCUUAAAUCUUAGUUUUCGUGGAAAGAAACUGGAACUUUGAGGUUCAGCAACAAGCCCUUUUGUGAGUUUACUGUUAUUGUUGAGCUCAGACUUUUAGGGGUGUUUUGUUACCACAUGUUGUUCAGGCUUGGCAUGACAUCAUUUUCAGUUCAGCUGUUCCUAAAUAAUUAAUGUUGUAAUUUCAUGAAGAAAAGACCAAUGUUGAAGAAUGUUAACAAAAAAUACCUUUCACACAGCUCAUUUAAUUUAGGUGGUACUGACUCUUUACUUUUUUUAUUCUUACUCUCUGAAAUGAAAGGUUUAUUGUGACUUCUUGGGUCAAUUCAGUUUUGAUAAUAUGAACUUUUUCAAGAGGUGAAACACAACAAGUUUACUAGAUUUGAGAUUUGUUUCAUUCAUUGUACUGCUUUGAAAACAACAGAGCAAAGAUUUUUGUUGUCGCAUUUAUUUGAAAGCAAAAUUAAAUAAAAAACCUCACAUUUUGAUGUUUUGUUAUGAUUUUCCUUGGAUAUAUAUGGUCUUGGUCUUGUCUCGGUCUCGACCUCCAAAUGUCUUGGUCUUGUCUCGGUCUCGACCUCCAAAUGUCUUGGCCUAGUCUCGGUCUCGGUACUCUCUGGUCUCGGUAAUGUCUUGGUCUCGGCUGGUGCGGUCUUGAUUACAACACUACGAACCAUCGACUCAGUCUUUGUCCGGGGAAUCAUCCAGCAGUUCACAGUUUUUCUGACUUUAGCGUACGUUAUUAAAUACCGGCAAUAGCGGGCCACCGAGUUAUAAAGGAACGACUUCCUCAGCGGAAAGUGUUGCGUGAACA
ensembl:lncRNA